rnacentral:rRNA from 1 species
GGCGAACGCUGGCGGCGUGCUUAACACAUGCAAGUCGAACGGAAAGGCCCUGCUUGCAGGGUACUCGAGUGGCGAACGGGUGAGUAACACGUGGGUGAUCUGCCCUGCACUUCGGGAUAAGCCUGGGAAACUGGGUCUAAUACCGGAUAGGAGCCAUUUUUAGUGUGAUGGUUGGAAAGUUUUUUCGGUGUAGGAUGAGCUCGCGGCCUAUCAGCUUGUUGGUGGGGUAAUGGCCUACCAAGGCGGCGACGGGUAGCCGGCCUGAGAGGGUGGACGGCCACAUUGGGACUGAGAUACGGCCCAGACUCCUACGGGAGGCAGCAGUGGGGAAUAUUGCACAAUGGGCGCAAGCCUGAUGCAGCGACGCCGCGUGGGGGAGGACGGCCUUCGGGUUGUAAACUCCUUUCGCUAGGGACGAAGCUUUUUGUGACGGUACCUAGAGAAGAAGCACCGGCUAACUACGUG